rnacentral:rRNA from 1 species
UCAGGAGUGAACGCUGGCGGCGUGCCUAACACAUGCAAGUCGAGCGGAGAUACUUGAUAAGCUUGCUUAAUGAGUAUCGUUAGCGGCGGAUGGGUGAGGAACGCGUGGAGAACCUGCCCUUCACAGGGGGAUAACAGCUGGAAACGGCUGUUAAUACCGCAUAUGCUCACAGCGCCGCAUGGCGCAGGGAGGAAAGCGCACAGUGGUGAAGGAUGGCUCCGCGUCGGAUUAGCCAGUUGGCGGGGUAACGGCCCACCAAAGCGAUGAUCCGUAGCCGGCCUGAGAGGGCGACCGGCCACAUUGGGACUGAGACACGGCCCAAACUCCUACGGGAGGCAGCAGUGGGGGAUAUUGCACAAUGGGCGAAAGCCUGAUGCCAGCGACGCCGCGUGAAGGAAGACGUACCUCGGUAUGUAAACUUCUAUCAGCAGGGAAGAAGAUGACGGUACCUGACUAAGAAGCCCCGGCUAACUACGUGCCAGCAGCUGC